GUUAGAGGUUAGGGAAUAGGGGUUAGAGGUUAGGGGUUAGGGGUCAGAGGAUAGCGGUUAGAGUCAGGCAGUAACAGGUGAUAGCAGCAGCAGCUAGAGAGUAGUCAAGGCCCGUGAUGCUGCAAAGCGUUUCAAUGAGACUCCGUCAUCGCCAACCAAUCAGGUCCUCAGCCUGCUGCGUCUGUCUGCGUGGGGGGAGGGGCCAAAGACUGUCCAGUUUAAGGCCGUCUGUCAGACCAAUCACCUCAAGGCUUCAGCCUCCAUGAAAAAUCACAGGGAUCACAGCAAAACAGCAAUAAGAACAUCACGUGUGUUAUAACAGACGUUACAAGGUGUUAUAACAGAUGUUACAAUGUGUUAUAACAGACGUUACCAUGUUUUAUAACAGUGUUAUGGAUGUAUGAGAUGUUAAAACACAUUGUAACAGUGUUAUAGAUGUAUGAGAUGUUACAAUGUGUUAUAACAGAUGUUACAAUGUGUUAUAACAGAUGUUACAAUGUGUUAUAACAGUGUUAUAGAUGUAUGAAUGUUACAAUGUUUUAUAACAGAUGUUACAAUGUGUUAUGACAGUGUUAUAGAAGUAUGAGACGUUACAAUGUGUUAUAACAGUGUUAUAGAAGUAUGAGACGUUACAAGGUGUUAUAACAGGUGUUAUAACAGUGUUAUAGAUGUAUGAGGACCAUGUAUAUAAUAUAGGAUCAUGUUAACA